UGGAGGAUGAGAGCGACCGCUGGGGCGGCACGCUGUUUGAGCAGGAUCUGUACGGACGGAUGUGUCGAGCGAAUUAUGGACGUCCGAAAGUGAACAACCACCGUUUAUCAGCGAACACUGAUGAAACUCUGAACACAUUUAAGAGCUCAGGACCAAGCAUGCCUGUUGACAGUGAGAUUUCUGUUACAGACCUGUACAACAUGCCAUAUGUUACUCCGUCAAAGCCAGAUGCGAAAGUACAGGAAAGUUUAUCGAUUCCCGCGGAGACGAUACUUGAGGCGAAUCCGCCUGAAAUCACGUGCAUCAACAAUAACGUGUCCUUCUCUCUGACUUUAGGGGAUCUGAACAUGAACGUGAAUCACACAGACUUUGGUUUUAUCGAUUCUGAUGGAUCUUCUCUAUCAGAAGUCGCCGAUACCCUCAGAAGCAUCAACACUUUGAGCGGGACAUUUUCGCCGCUGCCAGAAGACUCGCCGACGGUCAUGUACGAUGAGACAAAAGCACCAGAAGACAUGUUCAUGCUGAAGGACACCUACAUACCGGAGAUGAACUCCUCCUUCGAAAUCCCUGCGGCUUCUCACAAACUGUGUAAAAUAUCUGCAGUUUGCCAAGGCAGCUGCCAAGAUUGUCAGUGUAAACUGAAAAACGUAGCAGCUCACGGUCACUCCAGGGUCAGUAGUCGAGACAUCACUGCUUUAAUGUCUAACAGUCAGGCACAUGAGCCACUGGAUGUGGAAAGUGAAGAUAGAGACGAAAUCCAAAGAAGUGAUGAAGAUUUGAAAAAGACGCAGAGCGACAUUGAUGAUAAUGGCAACCUGCAAGCCGAGUUAGCCAAACCCGACCAGACAGGGUCCGUUCCCGGGGUAGUUAGCGCACGGAUACGUCCAAAGGGAGUAUCCCGCCAGAGCAGCACUGACAGCCAAAGCGGCCGACGCAAAAGCGGAGAAAGGGAGUUCGAGCAGUUUUUGUGCCUCGUUCAAAACAUCUCAGAUGAGUUCAGCGAAGGUCCGUCAUCGUAUCAGCCCGCUAAACCGGCUCUGCCCUCCGUGAAGCUCGAAGGCGGCGUCGGUCAUGACCAAACGCAUCACAGCAUGACAGAAAAGCCAUCUGACAUUAACUUUGAAGACCUUCACGCGCAAGUAGCACCAAACUCAAGAACCCCCUCGAAGGCAAAGAUUGAUCAAUCUUUGCUUGAGCCCGAAACCUCUUCACCCUCUGUCUACUCUGCACUCUCCUUAUCAGCUGAAACCCCUGUCUGUUGCCCCUCCAUACAUCCCCCAAGCGUAGGGCCGAGUGCUGGAGCCAGCACUGCGCUGGCCGUGGCUCCCUACACCUCCUCCUACUCCACCACCUCCACCACUGACCAGCCCCUGGCUGCACGGCACUCACUUUUGCCUGAGGAGACACAGCCAGCUAGCAACCUGCCCCGUCAGGAGAGCAGAUCUCAUCCAGUGAAGCCGUUAACCUCCAGCCAAUCAGAGAAAAAGGAGAGCCGCUCCGUUCUGGAGAAGCUUAAAUCUACCAUCCACCCUGGACGCGCCGCCCAUCAGGGCGCAGCUGAAGCCGAGAAAACUCAGGUACUCUUGGGAGAAAAUCGAGAAAAUCGUCUUUAUAGCUCAUUGUUAUACGAA
rnacentral:lncRNA from 1 species